rnacentral:rRNA from 1 species
AUUGAACGCUGGCGGCAUGCCUUACACAUGCAAGUCGAACGGCAGCACGGGAGCAAUCCUGGUGGCGAGUGGCGAACGGGUGAGUAAUAUAUCGGAACGUGCCCAGUCGUGGGGGAUAACGUAGCGAAAGCUACGCUAAUACCGCAUGCGAUCUGUGGAUGAAAGCGGGGGAUCGCAAGACCUCGCGCGAUUGGAGCGGCCGAUAUCAGAUUAGGUAGUUGGUGAGGUAAAGGCUCACCAAGCCGACGAUCUGUAGCUGGUCUGAGAGGACGACCAGCCACACUGGGACUGAGACACGGCCCAAACUCCUACGGGAGGCAGCAGUGGGGAAUUUUGGACAAUGGGCGCAAGCCUGAUCCAGCAAUGCCGCGUGCAGGAUGAAGGCCUUCGGGUUGUAAACUGCUUUCGUACGGAACGAAACGGCGAGCUCUAAUACAGUUUGCUAAUGACGGUACCGUAAGAAUAAGCACCGGCCAACUACGUGCCAGCAGCCGCAGUAA